GUUUGCGUAGCUUAAUUUAAAGUAUGGCACUGAAGAUGCUAAGAUGAAAAGUAAUACAUUCCACAAACA
rnacentral:tRNA from 1 species